rnacentral:rRNA from 1 species
UACGGAGGGUGCGAGCGUUGUCCGGAAUCACUGGGCGUAAAGGGCGCGUAGGCGGCCUGGCAAGUCGGUGGUGAAAGCUCGGGGCUCAACUCCGAGCUUGCAGUCGAUACGGGCAGGCUAGAGUUCGGCAGGGGAGACUGGAAUUCCUGGUGUAGCGGUGAAAUGCGCAGAUAUCAGGAGGAACACCGGUGGCGAAGGCGGGUCUCUGGGCCGAUACUGACGCUGAGGAGCGAAAGCGUGGGGAGCGAACAGG